rnacentral:rRNA from 1 species
AGUGAACGCUGGCGGUAGGCCUAACACAUGCAAGUCGAACGGCAGCACAGUAAGAGCUUGCUCUUACGGGUGGCGAGUGGCGGACGGGUGAGGUAUACAUCGGAAUCUACUUUUUCGUGGGGGAUAACGUAGGGAAACUUACGCUAAUACCGCAUACGACCUACGGGUGAAAGCAGGGGAUCUUCGGACCUUGCGCGAUUGAAUGAGCCGAUGUCGGAUUAGCUAGUUGGCGGGGUAAAGGCCCACCAAGGCGACGAUCCGUAGCUGGUCUGAGAGGAUGAUCAGCCACACUGGAACUGAGACACGGUCCAGACUCCUACGGGAGGCAGCAGUGGGGAAUAUUGGACAAUGGGCGCAAGCCUGAUCCAGCCAUACCGCGUGGGUGAAGAAGGCCUUCGGGUUGUAAAGCCCUGUUGUUGUGAAAGAAAAGCAGCAGGUUAAUACCCCGCUGUUCUGACAGUACCCAAAGAAUAAGCACCGGCUAACUUCGUG